rnacentral:rRNA from 1 species
CCGGAAUGAGUAGCAAGAGGAAGGUGGGAAUCCUUCCGGCCGAAUAUCUAAGGUUUCCAGAGUAAAGCUGAUCUGCUCUGGGUAAGUCGGGGCCUAAGGAGAGGUCGAAAGACGUAUCCGAUGGACAACAGGUUUAGAUUCCUGUACCACAUAUAAACAGAACUGUGGGGACGCAUGUGGAAAGCAUAAGCCGGGAAUGGAAAUACCGGUACAAACGGAAGAGGUGUCAGGCUGGCAAAUCCGCCUGGCAAGCCAAAGACGUGAUGUGGAGCGAAAUAAAAGUAGCGAAGUAUGUGAGCCAUGUGCCGAGAAAAGCCGCUAUUGUUUUAUAUGUGCCCGUACCGUAAACCGACACAGGUGGAUGAGGAGAGAAUCCUAAGGCCGACGGAAGAAGCAUUGUUAAGGAACUCGGCAAAAUGACCCCGUAACUUCGGGAGAAGGGGUGCCCACUUCAGGGUGGGCCGCAGAGAAUAGGCUCAAGCAACUGUUUAGCAAAAACACAGGUCUAUGCGAAACCGUAAGGUGAAGUAUAUGGGCUGACGCCUGCCCGGUGCUGGAAGGUUAAGAGGAGAGGUUAGUCGCAAGAUGAAGCUUUGAAUUUAAGCCCCAGUAAACGGCGGCCGUAACUAUAACGGUCCUAAGGUAGCGAAAUUCCUUGUCGGGUAAGUUCCGACCCGCACGAAAGGCGUAAUGAUUUGAGCACUGUCUCGACAAUGCAUCCGGUGAAAUUGAAGUACCAGUGAAGAUGCUGGUUACCCGCGCCAGGACGGAAAGACCCCAUGGAGCUUUACUCCAGUUUGGUACUGGGAUUCGGUACUGCAUGUACAGGAUAGGUGGGAGACUGAGAAAUUGGAACGCCAGUUUCAAUGGAGUCACUGUUGGGAUACCACCCCUGCAGUAUUGGGUUUCUAACCAGCCGCUGUGAUCCAGCGGUGGGACAAUGCCAGGCGGGGAGUUUGACUGGGGCGGUCGCCUCCGAAAGGGUAUCGGAGGCGCUCAAAGGUUCCCUCAGAAUGGUCGGAAACCAUUUGAAGAGUGCAAAGGCAGAAGGGAGCUUGACUGCGACACCGACGGGUGGAGCAGGUACGAAAGUAGGACUUAGUGAUCCGGUGGCAUAAAGUGGGAUUGCCAUCGCUCAACGGAUAAAAGCUACCCUGGGAUAACAGGCUUAUCACUCCCAAGAGUUCACAUCGACGGAGUGGUUUGGCACCUCGAUGUCGGCUCAUCGCAUCCUGGGGCUGUAGCAGGUCCCAAGGGUUGGGCUGUUCGCCCAUUAAAGCGGUGCGCGAGCUGGGUUCAGAACGUCGUGAGACAGUUCGGUCCCUAUCCGGCGCGGGCGGAGGAUAUUUGAGAGGAGCUGUCCUUAGUACGAGAGGACCGGGAUGGACGGACCACUGGUGUAUCUGCUGUCGACCAACGGCAUGGCAGAGUAGCCAAGUCCGGAAGGGAUAAACGCUGAAGGCAUCUAAGCGUGAAGCCCCCCUCAAGAUGAGAUAUCCCUUCCAUAAGGAAGUAAGAUCCCUUGAAGAGUACAAGGUAGAUAGGGCAGAGGUGGAAGCACGGUAACGUGUGGAGCUGACUGUUACUAAUCGAUCGAGGGCUUGACC